rnacentral:rRNA from 1 species
ACUCCUACGGGAGGCAGCAGUAGGGAAUAUUGGGCAAUGGACGAAAGUCUGACCCAGCCAUGCCGCGUGCAGGAUGACUGCCCUAUGGGUUGUAAACUGCUUUUGUACGGGAAGAAACCCCUUUACGUGUAGAGGGCUGACGGUACCGUAAGAAUAAGGAUCGGCUAACUCCGUGCCAGCAGCCGCGGUAAUACGGAGGAUCCAAGCGUUGUCCGGAUUUAUUGGGUUUAAAGGGUGCGUAGGCGGACUAAUAAGUCAGUGGUGAAAGUUUGCAGCUUAACUGUAAAAUUGCCUUUGAAACUGCUAGUCUUGAGUAUAGUUGAGGUGGGCGGAAUGUGUCAUGUAGCGGUGAAAUGCUUAGAUAUGAUACAGAACACCGAUUGCGAAGGCAGCUCACUAAACUAAAACUGACGCUGAGGCACGAAAGCGUGGGGAGCGAACAGGAUUAGAUACCCUGGUAGGAUAG